rnacentral:rRNA from 1 species
GUGCCAGCCCGGUAAUACGUAGGGGGCAAGCGUUGUCCGGAUUUAUUGGGCGUAAAGAGCGUGUAGGCGGCCAUACAGGUCAGCUGUGAAAACUCGAGGCUCAACCUCGAGACGUCGGUUGAAACCGUAUGGCUAGAGUCCGGAAGAGGAGAGUGGAAUUCCCGGUGUAGCGGUGAAAUGCGCAGAUAUCGGGAAGAACACCCGUGGCGAAGGCGGCUCUCUGGGACGGUACUGACGCUGAGACGCGAAAGCGUGGGGAGCGAACAGG